rnacentral:piRNA from 1 species
UCAGUGAGUGCAUACCAUAUUUGUUC